rnacentral:ncRNA from 1 species
CAAAGAUUUGGUCCUGGUCUUACUGUUACUUCUUGCUGAACUUACACAUGCAAGCAUCAACACCCCCGUGAAAACGCCCUAAUACUCUACGCAAGGAGAAUAAGGAGCAGGUAUCAGGCCCACCAUAGUAGCCCAAAACACCUAGCAAUGCCACAUCCCCACGGAAACUCAGCAGUGACAAACAUUAAUACAUAAGCGAAAGCUUGACUUAUUUACAGCAAAUUAGGGCCGGUUAAUCAUUGUGCCAGCCACCGCGGUUAUACAAGAAGCCCAAAAUAACAGCAAAACGGCGUAUAACGUGAUUAAAAAUAAACAAAAAAAUUUAAGGUAGAUCUUAUAUUCUUCUGUCAUAAGUUUAAAUAUAUAUAAUACCACUAUGAAAAUAACCUUAAUAUAAUCGAUUAAUUUGAACCCACGAUAGCUAAGAUACAAACUGGGAUUAGAUACCCCACUAUGCUCAGCCUUAAACCUAGAUUCCACAACCCACAUAAGGAAUCCGCCAGAGAACUACAAACCAAACGUUUAAAACUCAAAGGACUUGGCGGUGCUUCAAACCCACCUAGAGGAGCCUGUUCUAUAAUCGAUAAUCCACGAUACACCUCACCAUCUCUAGCCCACAGCCUAUAUACCUCCGUCUACAGCUUACCCUGUGAAGGAAUUAAAAGUAAGCAUAACAGUUAACACAGCUAACAAGUCAGGUCAAGGUGUAGCCAACUGAGAUGGAAGAAAUGGGCUACAUUUUCUAUACUAGAAUUAUUUUAACGGAAAGAGCCUUGAAAACACUGCUCUAAAAGCAGGAUUUAGCAGUAAUAUGAGAACAGAAAGCCCAUAUUAACAAGGACCUGAAGCGCGCACACACCGCCCGUCACCCUCCUCAAAAAACAAUUACACUUAAAUAAACUAAAUAUCCAAUACAUAAAGAUGAGGCAAGUCGUAACAUGGUAAGUAUACCGGAAGGUGUACUUGGUAUAU